rnacentral:rRNA from 1 species
UACGUAGGGGGCAAGCGUUGUCCGGAAUUAUUGGGCGUAAAGCGCGCGCAGGUGGUUUCUUAAGUCUGAUGUGAAAGCCCACGGCUCAACCGUGGAGGGUCAUUGGAAACUGGAGAACUUGAGUGCAGGAGAGAAGAGUGGAAUUCCACGUGUAGCGGUGAAAUGCGUAGAGAUGUGGAGGAACACCAGUGGCGAAGGCGACUCUUUGGCCUGUAACUGACACUGAGGCGCGAAAGCGUGGGGAGCAAACAGG